UUUUAGAAUUCUUCUAAGGACCUUUGAAU
rnacentral:piRNA from 1 species